rnacentral:lncRNA from 1 species
AUUGACUGUGUUGGAGGCCAAAAUACGCCUCCCUGGUACAGACUGGCAAAAACACCCUAUUGUGACUGGCCCAGGGGCUCCAUGCAUGCUUGAUAUCGAUUGCCUCAGAAGGGGGCAUUUCAAGGAUCCUAAGGGGUAUUGAUGGGCCUUUGGAAUAGCUGCUGGAGAUACAGACGACAUGAAGCAGCCGUCUCUUCUUCCUGGCCUGUCAGAAGAUCCAUCUGUUGUGGGGCUGCUGCAAGUAAAAGAGCAGCAGGUGCCGACUGCCACAAAAACAGUGCACAGGCAGCAGUACUGCACCAACAGGGAUUCCUCGCUCCCCAUUCUGAAGUUGAUUAGAUAGAGAGUCAGGGAGCGAUCAGCAGAACCCACUCACCUUUUAACCCACAACCCCAUACGGCCAGUGCGUAAAGCCAGUGGAGAAUGGAGGCUGACGGUAGACUACCGUGGCCUGAAUGAAGUCACACCCCCACUGAGUGCUGCUGUGCCGAACAUGCUAGAACUCCAGUAGGAACUGGAGUCAAAAGCAGCCAAGUGCUAUGCCACCACUGACAUUGCUACUGCCUUCUUUUCCAUUCCUCUGGCCACAGAAUGCAGGCCGCAGUUUGCCUUCACCUGGAGGGGCGUUCAGUAUACCUGGAACCGUUUGCCCAAGGAAUGGAAACACAGCCCAACCGUUUGCCAUGGGUUGAUCCAAACCGUAUUGGAACAGGGCGGCGCUCCCGAGCACCUGCAGUACACUGAUGAUAUUGCUGUGUGGGGCGAUACCGCAGAGAAUGUUUUUGAGAAAGGAGAGCAAAUAAUCCAAAUUCUUCUGCAAGCUGGUUUUGCUAUUGAGCGAUUCAGCAGUGCCCCCAAAGAGUUUGCUGUCUCAGGAAGUUUCUGCCCACCGCUUCUUCUGGAGAGCCCCCAGGGAAAGCUCUGCUAUAGAGCCCCAUAAGACCCCAGAGAGCCCCCAGAGAGCCCCAUAGCCGCCCAACAGAGCUCCGUAACCUCACCUUGGAACCCCGUAGACACCCCAUAGGACCCUAUAGAGCGCAUCCCACAGAGCCCAGUACUACCCCAUAAGAUCCCAGAGAGCUGCACAAGAGCUCAUAGGGCACCCCAGAGACUCAUAGUUCCCCACAGACACCCAACAGAGCCCAUAACCAUUCCAUUGGGCCCCACAACACCCCAUAAUGUCGGGAGCUCCCAGAGAGCUGCGGUGGGCUGCUGCAAAGUGCAGCAUCCUGCCCAAAGGCAUGGAGAUGGCACAGUUACACGUCUCCGGAGGCCUCUGCUGCCCUUCGUGGCCGAGCAGCUGGGAGCAAUUGCUCCACAUGCCCUGGCUCAGGGUCAGCCUCCUUCGUGCUUGAAUCCUGCCAGAGCUGAGGGAGUGGAUGAGGACGACGGUGAUGAAUAAAAGGCUAAUCCGUUAGGUUGUUAGGAGUAGCUGAGCAUGAACAAUGGGAACGAUAUGGGGCUGAUAGUUAGGGGUGGUGUUUGGUGUGAAGAAUACCUGUGGAACAGUGUACUGAAGUCAAUUGUAAUAUGCAGGUGUUCCCUCUAUAAAGAGGGAUGUUCACCUGCUAUCCGUGUGCAGGCUAGAAAGGAGUUAUCCCCCCAGCAUCGGGCCGGCCGAAUAAAUCGUACCGGCUGAACAACUACUGCGUGGUUAUAGGGUUUGUUCUGCAAGUCAGUUUUGGCGAGCCAGGCAGGAAAACUCUUUGCUGGACCGCAGAGCUGGUCAGACCAGGGGACGCUUCUGGUGCGCCCUGAAAACAAUUUCUUUUGGAGGAGACUCCCCAGGCUGACACAUCCACUGCGGGGCAGGGAAAGAGCUCCGGCACAGACCAGGUAUGUUACAGGUACAGGGCCCCAUAAGACGUGAGGAGACGUCCUACGCAGGGUUGAAGGAGCGAGAGUGCUCCCCCCGAGGGUGGAUCCACAGGUAACGGUUGGGUGAUCGCGAUGGCUGGGGGAUACAGCCCUCGGGAGGGGGGUCCCACAUAGGGGGAUAUCCCGAAAAUCCUGAGAACCUCACAGGUAAAGCGCGCAAGGUAUCCCGAGAGUGAGGGCCACAGCACCUUCGGGAAUGUGAGCUGUGUGAGCUUUGGAAGAUGAAGCUAAACAGUGUGUCGGAUCCAUGGUUUCGUUCUCCUGCGAGGGAGACGGCUGCAAACUGUUACUGAAGAGCUUAAAGUGACUGGUCAGACAGGGUGGGCAAAUGCCAGAACCGAUUUUCAUUCUUUUCCUGAUAGGAACUGUGUCGUUGUUCUUAUCUUUGUAACUG